GCCGGGCGCUGUGGCUCACGCCUGUAAUCCCAGCACUUUGGGAGGCCGAGGCGGGUGGAUCACCUGAGGUCAGGAGUUCGAGACCAGCCUGGCCUACAUGGUGAAACCCCGUCUCUA
rnacentral:SRP_RNA from 1 species